UAGCGUAGGGAGCAAGCGUUGUCCGGAAUCAUUGGGCGUAAAGCGCGCGUAGGCGGCCCCGUAAGUCCGCUGGUGAAAGUCAAAGGCUCAACCUUUGAAACCGGUGGAUCUGUGGGGCUAGAGUCCGGAAGAGGCGAGUGGAAUUCCUGGUGGUAGGCGGUGGAAUGCGCAGAUAUCAAGGAGGAACACCAAUAGCGAAGGCAGCUCCGCUGGGACGGUACUGACGCUAAGG
rnacentral:rRNA from 1 species